CUUAUCAAGAGUGGCUGAGGAAACAGGUCCUAUGACGCCCGACAACCUGACCGACCUUUCGGGAAAGGUGUUAAAUCCUGCGGUUUUUAACCGAAAGAUGAGG
rnacentral:ncRNA from 1 species